rnacentral:rRNA from 6 species
UGAAGAGUUUGAUCAUGGCUCAGAUUGAACGCUGGCGGCAGGCCUAACACAUGCAAGUCGAACGGUAACAGGAAGCAGCUUGCUGCUUUGCUGACGAGUGGCGGACGGGUGAGUAAUGUCUGGGAAACUGCCUGAUGGAGGGGGAUAACUACUGGAAACGGUGGCUAAUACCGCAUAACGUCGCAAGACCAAAGAGGGGGACCUUCGGGCCUCUUGCCAUCAGAUGUGCCCAGAUGGGAUUAGCUUGUUGGUGAGGUAACGGCUCACCAAGGCGACGAUCCCUAGCUGGUCUGAGAGGAUGACCAGCCACACUGGAACUGAGACACGGUCCAGACUCCUACGGGAGGCAGCAGUGGGGAAUAUUGCACAAUGGGCGCAAGCCUGAUGCAGCCAUGCCGCGUGUAUGAAGAAGGCCUUCGGGUUGUAAAGUACUUUCAGCGGGGAGGAAGGUGUUGUGGUUAAUAACCGCAGCAAUUGACGUUACCCGCAGAAGAAGCACCGGCUAACUCCGUGCCAGCAGCCGCGGUAAUACGGAGGGUGCAAGCGUUAAUCGGAAUUACUGGGCGUAAAGCGCACGCAGGCGGUCUGUCAAGUCGGAUGUGAAAUCCCCGGGCUCAACCUGGGAACUGCAUUCGAAACUGGCAGG